rnacentral:rRNA from 1 species
CAAGUCGAGCGAGCUUGCCUAGAUGAUUUUAGUGCUUGCACUAAAUGACACUAGAUACAAGCGAGCGGCGGACGGGUGAGUAACACGUGGGUAACCUGCCCAAGAGACUGGGAUAACACCUGGAAACAGAUGCUAAUACCGGAUAACAACACUAGACGCAUGUCUAGAGUUUGAAAGAUGGUUCUGCUAUCACUCUUGGAUGGACCUGCGGUGCAUUAGCUAGUUGGUAAGGUAACGGCUUACCAAACCAACGAUCAGUAGCCGGCCUGAGAGGGUGAACGGCCACAUUGGGACUGAGACACGGCCCAAACUCCUACGGGAGGCAGCAGUGGGGAAUAUUGCACAAUGGGGGAAACCCUGAUGCAGCGACGCCGCGUGAGCGAUGAAGUAUUUCGGUAUGUAAAGCUCUAUCAGCAGGGAAGAAGAUGACGGUACCUGACUAAGAAGCCCCGGCUAACUACGUGCCAGCAGCCGCGGUAAUACGUAGGGGGCAAGCGUUAUCCGGAUUUACUGGGUGUAAAGGGAGCGUAGACGGCGGUGCAAGCCAGAUGUGAAAGCCCGGGGCUCAACCCCGGGACUGCAUUUGGAACUGUAUGGCUGGAGUGUCGGAGAGGCAGGCGGAAUUCUAGUGUAGCGGUGAAAUGCGUAGAUAUUAGGAGGAACACCAGUGGCGAAGGCGGCCUGCUGGACGAUGACUGACGUUGAGGCUCGAAAGCGUGGGGAGCAAACAGGAUUAGAUACCCUGGUAGU